GUGAUCCCUUAGGCAGUACAUAUACUAAAAUUGGAACGAUACAGAGAAGAUGAGCAUGG
rnacentral:snRNA from 1 species